rnacentral:rRNA from 1 species
AGUCGUACGAGAGUUUUUAACUCAAGUGGCGGACGGGUGAGUAACACGUAAGAAUUUGCCUCUAGGAGGGGGACAACAAUUAGAAAUGAUUGCUAAUACCCCAUAUGCUUUCGAGUGAAAUGGAUUUUUCCGCCUAGAGAGAAGCUUGCGGCUGAUUAGCUUGUUGGUGAGGUAAUGGCUCACCAAGGCGACGAUCAGUAUCUGGUUUGAGAGGACGAUCAGACACACUGGAACUGAGACACGGUCCAGACUCCUACGGGAGGCAGCAGUGGGGAAUUUUCCGCAAUGGGCGAAAGCCUGACGGAGCAAUACCGCGUGAGGGAUGACGGCCUAUGGGUUGUAAACCUCUUUUUUCAGGGAGGAAUAAAUGACGUGUACCUGAAGAAUAAGCAUCGGCUAACUCCGUGCCAGCAGCCGCGGUAAGACGGAGGAUGCAAGUGUUAUCCGGAAUCACUGGGCGUAAAGCGUCUGUAGGUGGUCCAAUAAGUCAACUGUUAAAUCUUGAGGCUCAACCUCAAAAUCGCAGUCGAAACUAUUAGACUAGAGUAUAGUAGGGGUAAAGGGAAUUUCC